GAAGCCAGGCCAAGAAGAAUCCCAGGACUGGAAGGCCUUGUGGGACGUCCCAGGUUUGUCUUGUGUCAAUAGCACUGAUACUCAAUCUCCUACUCCCAUCUGUGAGCAUGCAGACCCUACUUGCCUUCCCACAGCCUCCCUUUUCAUAUUUUUCAUGUUUCUUUAGCUCUGUCUUCAAGCCUUGUUGCUCCCGCAAAAAAACCUGCCUCUUCCUCCAGUCCUCCCAAGCAGGGGGAACAGUCCUGACACCUUUCCAAGCCCUGGUCCAUGGACAUUGUGCCCCCUUCUCCCUGCCCAUGGUGACCUGCUCCAAAACCCUCAAGGAGAAGGGAGUGUAUGUCAUUUCCUCCCUGUAAAGUAAAGAUAAUUUUGCAGGGGACUGUGUGGAUGAAAUGACAUGAUGCAUGGAAAUCCCUUAGCGUGUGCCUGGCAUGUAAACUGCAGGUGUCAUCAUUAUUACUGAGGAAUACUGAGUCCCGAACAUGGCUGUCUCAUUGGUGGACUGGGGUCUCCCCCAGGGCAUUCAUCUACUAUGUGUUUAUUGCACCCUUUUUCCAUGUGAGGCACAUGCCAGGGACUGGGCACAUGGUAUGAACAAGACACAGGUCAUCGGUGUCCUCUUGAGCUCCCUGGCUUGGCAGCAGAUGCAUACCUGGGAAGGAUGCUAGGUCAUCCGGGAACUCUACCUCCUUCAAAUCCCUAAGGACUGUGCUCCCAAUCCGCUUACGCUCAAGGAAGAACUGGUCAGCCCUAGGUGCAGCUGCAACCUGAGGGACUUGUCCUGGGAUCAGACAUUUUGAGGACUUUCUUGACCCUUGGCUGAUAUCCUUGCAGGCAGGACCUGCAGCUAAGCAAGACGUAGGACUGCAAGCUGGGUUGGCACCCUCCCCCUAGGGAGUUCUCCAGGCCUUGCCCCCUCUGUCCCCAGCCUGGAAGCCCUCCCUGGUACCAUACCCCAGCCGAUGAGUAUGUACCCCCAGAAGUACUUCCGCUCAGAGAAGAAGGAGACGGCAAGCAGGGUGUACAGGGAAGGCCUCCCUCUCCAGGACUCCUUUAGAUUUCCCCAGCAUCCAGACCUCACCUGCCUAAGUGCUGUUGCCCUGGAAGCCACAGUGAGCACGAGCUCCAUCUUGCACCUUUACCAGCCAAUGGGGGUAAAGACAUUAGCUGAAAUACUUCUAAGGGGCCAGGCGUGGUGACUCAUGCUUGUAAUUCCAAGCACUUUGGGAGGCUGAGGCAGGUGGAUCACCUGAAGCCAGGAGUUCAAGAGCAGCCUGGCCAACAUGGCGAAACCCUGUCUCUACUAAAAAUACAAAAUUUAGCCAGGCAUGGUGGCGGGAGCCUGUAAUCUCAGCUCCUAGGGAGGCUGAGCCAGAAGAAUCGCUUAAACCUGGAAGCUGGAGGUUGCAGUGAGCCAAGAUCACACCACCACACUCCAGCCUGGGUGACAGAGCAAGACUCCAUCUCAAAAAGAAAAAAAAGAAAAAAAGGAAAUACUUCUAAGUUAUGUGAGAGAGUACAUACUGACAUUUUCAAUGGGUACAAUAA
rnacentral:lncRNA from 1 species